rnacentral:rRNA from 1 species
UACGUAGGCAGCAAGCGUUGUUCGGAGUUACUGGGCGUAAAGGGUGUGUAGGCGGUUGGAUAAGUGUGGUGUGAAAUCUCCCGGCUUAACUGGGAGGGUGCGCUACAAACUGUCUGACUAGAGUGUGGGAUGGGUAAGUGGAAUUCCUGGUGUAGCGGUGAAAUGCGUAGAUAUCAGGAGGAACACCGGUGGUGUAGACGGCUUACUGGACCAUAACUGACGUGAGACACGAAAAGCGUGGGUAGCAAAACAGG